GAUGAACGCUAGCGGGAGGCUUAAUACAUGCAAGUCGAGCGCCCCGCAAGGGGAGCGGCGCACGGGUGAGUAACACGUACGCAAUCUACCUUAUGCUGGGGGAUAGCCCUGGGAAACUGGGAGUAAUCCGCCAUAGUAUUCAUGGAUGGCAUCAUUUAUGGAUUAAAGUGUUAGCGGCAUAAGAUGAGCGUGCGUCUGAUUAGCUAGUUGGAGUGGUAACGGCACACCAAGGCUACGAUCAGUAAGGGGCGUGAGAGCGUGGCCCCUCACACGGGUACUGAGACACGGACCCGACUCCUACGGGAGGCAGCAGUAAGGAAUAUUGGACAAUGGGCGGAAGCCUGAUCCAGCCAUCCCGCGUGCAGGAUGAAGGCCCCCCGGGUCGUAAACUGCUUUAGACUGGGAAGAAACCACUUGACGAGUCAGGUGUUGACGGUACCAGUAGAAUAAGCACCGGCUAACUCCGUG
rnacentral:rRNA from 1 species